GACGAACGCUGGCGGCGUGCUUAACACAUGCAAGUCGAACGGAAAGGCCUCUUUCGGGGGGUACUCGAGUGGCGAACGGGUGAGUAACACGUGAGUAACCUGCCCUUGACUUUGGGAUAACUUCAGGAAACUGGGGCUAAUACCGGAUAGGAGCUCCUGCUGCAUGGUGGGGGUUGGAAAGUUUCGGCGGUUGGGGAUGGACUCGCGGCUUAUCAGCUUGUUGGUGGGGUAGUGGCUUACCAAGGCUUUGACGGGUAGCCGGCCUGAGAGGGUGACCGGCCACAUUGGGACUGAGAUACGGCCCAGACUCCUACGGGAGGCAGCAGUGGGGAAUAUUGCACAAUGGGUGGAAGCCUGAUGCAGCAACGCCGUGUGCGGGAUGACGGCCUCGGUGUAACCGCUUCGUCUCAUGCGAAGCUUGUGUGACGGUAGUGGG
rnacentral:rRNA from 1 species